rnacentral:rRNA from 1 species
UACAGAGGUCUCAAGCGUGUUCGGAUUCAUUGGGCGUAAAGGGUGCGUAGGUGGCGCGCUAAGUCAGGUGUGAAAUUUCGGAGCUUAACUCCGAAACUGCAUUUGAUACUGGCGUGCUUGAGGACUGGAGAGGAGACUGGAAUUCAUGGUGUAGCAGUGAAAUGCGUAGAGAUCAUGAGGAAGACCAGUGGCGAAGGCGGGUCUCUGGACAGUUCCUGACACUGAGGCACGAAGGCCAGGGGAGCAAAACGGG